rnacentral:rRNA from 1 species
UACGAAGGGGGCUAGCGUUGCUCGGAAUCACUGGGCGUAAAGGGUGCGUAGGCGGUUCUUUAAGUCAGGGGUGAAAUCCUGGAGCUCAACUCCAGAACUGCCUUUGAUACUGGAGAUCUUGAGUUCGGGAGAGGUGAGUGGAACUGCGAGUGUAGAGGUGAAAUUCGUAGAUAUUCGCAAGAACACCAGUGGCGAAGGCGGCUCACUGGCCCGAUACUGACGCUGAUGCACGAAAGCGUGGGGAGCAAACAGG